rnacentral:misc_RNA from 1 species
AAAAACUUCGGCAAGAACGUGGAGCUUGUGUGUGAGACUUGUGUGCUAACUUAGACCACAAGCCCCCUCACGAGCCCUGUUUUUACGAACCCUGUGUGAACCGUAAUAUUUAUUCCGUCCACGUAAUACGAAAUUUCUAGUCUAAAGUCUUCUUCAUAUCACGAGAAUAUGAUAAAAA